UACGAAGGGGGCUAGCGUUGCUCGGAAUUACUGGGCGUAAAGGGCGCGUAGGCGGACAGUUUAGUCAGAGGUGAAAGCCCAGGGCUCAACCUUGGAAUUGCCUUUGAUACUGGCUGUCUUGAGUUCGGGAGAGGUGAGUGGAAUGCCGAGUGUAGAGGUGAAAUUCGUAGAUAUUCGGCGGAACACCAGUGGCGAAGGCGGUGCUCUGGGCCGGAACUGACGCUGAGGAGCGAAAGCGUGGGGAGCAAACAGG
rnacentral:rRNA from 1 species